CUGCAAUAUCAGUAACAAAAUCCAUUAUUACUCACCAGACAAGAUGAUCUUUAAUGCACGACACCGUCUGCCUUUACUCGUACAGCUGCGCACUGUGGAUUUGCUUCUGGAAACUUGCCAAUCUCUGCCAUGUGCUUGCUUCUAGAUUUCACGUUGUAUCUUGUGCUGCUUUCUUUAUAACACGUGCUUUUGUCUGUUGUAGAAUAUAAUCUUGGAACAGUCUUUGUGAUUUGAAAAUCUUUGUCUUCUGAUAAGCACACACGGCUCUUAACACAGCUUUUAACACGUUCUUUUUUUCUGUUUCUGGCUGCAC